GCGGGCGUGGCGGAAUGGCAGACGCGCUGGAUUUAGGUUCCAGUGCCUAACGGCGUGAGAGUUCAAGUCUCUCCGUCCGCA
rnacentral:tRNA from 1 species